rnacentral:rRNA from 1 species
GACGAACGCUGGCGGCGUGCCUAAUACAUGCAAGUCGAGCGAUGAAGCUUGGUGCUUGCACCACUUUGAAGAGCAGCGAACGGGUGAGUAACGCGUGGGGAAUCUGCCUAUGAGCGUGGGACAACAUUUGGAAACGAAUGCUAAUACCGCAUAAUAACUUUAAACAUAAGUUUUAAGUUUGAAAGAUGCAAUUGCAUCACUCAAAGAUUAUCCCGCGUUGUAUUAGCUAGUUUGUGAGGUAAAGGCUCACCAAGGCGAUGAUACAUAGCCGGACUGAAAGGGGGAUCGGCCCAAUCGGGACUGAGACACGGCCCAAACUCCUACGGGGGGCAGCAGGAGGGAAUUUUUGGCAAUGGACGAAAGUCUGACCGGGGAACGGCGGGGGAGUGAAGGAGGGUUUCGGAUCGGAAAACUCUGUUGGUAGAGAAGAACGUUAGUGAGAGUGGAAAGCGCAUCAAGUGACGGUAACUACCCAGAAAGGGACGGCUAACUACGUG